AUUGAACGCUGGCGGCAGGCUUAACACAUGCAAGUCGAACGAGUGGCGGACGGGUGUGUAAUGCUUGGGAAUCUGGCUUAUGGAGGGGGAUAACGACGGGAAACUGUAGCUAAUACCGCGUACCAUAGGAUGAGCCCAAGUGGGAGUAGGUAGUUGGUGAGGUAAAGGCUGACCAAGCCGACGAUCUCUAGCUGGGCUGAGAGGAUGACCAGCCACACUGGGAAUGAGACACGGCCCAGACUCCUACGGGAGGCAGCAGUGGGGAAUAUUGCGCAAUGGGGGCAACCUGACGCGUCCAUGCCGCGUGAAUGAUGAAGGCCUUCGGGUUGGAAAGUUCGUUCGGUAGCGAGGCGUUAACUACAGAAGAAGCACCGGCUAACUCCGUGCCAGCAGCCGCGGUAAUAC
rnacentral:rRNA from 1 species